rnacentral:rRNA from 1 species
UACGUAGGGGGCAAGCGUUGUCCGGAAUCAUUGGGCGUAAAGCGCGUGUAGGCGGCCAGGUAAGUCCGUUCUGAAAGCCCGGGGCUCAACCCCGGGAGGCGGAUGGAUACUGCUUGGCUCGAGUCCGGAAGAGGCGAGUGGAAUUCCCGGUGUAGCGGUGAAAUGCGCAGAUAUCGGGAGGAACACCAAUGGCGAAGGCAGCUCGCUGGGACGGUACUGACGCUGAGACGCGAAAAGCGUGGGGAGCAAAACAGG